rnacentral:misc_RNA from 1 species
GAUGAAGAACGUAGCGAAAUGCGAUAAGUAAUGUGAAUUGCAGAAUUCAGUGAAUCAUCGAAUCUUUGAACGCACAUUGCGCCCUUUGGUAUUCCUUAGGGCAUGCCUGUUCGAGCGUCAUUUAAACCUUCAAGCUCAGCUUGGUGAUGGGCGACUGUCCCCCCCCCUCGCGGGGGGGACUCGCCUCAAAAACAUUGGCGGCCGGUACAUUGGCUUCGAGCGCAGCAGAAACGCGGUCUCGAGCCCGGUGGAUCGGCUCCCAUAAGCCUAUUCUUUUAUUUUGACCUCGGAUCAGGUAGGGAUACCCGCUGAACUUAAGCAUAUCAAUAAGCGGAGGA